UGGGUGUAGCCCCUACACCUUCCAUCGCCCCCAGGUUACAGGAACGAAAGUCUCUGGGGUAUCCAGCCCCUGAGCCAAGUGUCUCUCCCUGCAGGCUCGGGCGAUAUGGACGGGCUGCCGAAGGUGAGGUCGUGCACACUAGGUGGGCGGGGGCAGAUGGCCUGGGUCGGGGUGGGGACCUACGCGCUGACCAGCGCCGCCCCCAGAACUCCCCCGGCGCCGUGGGCGGCCUGAACAACGCCCCGGGGACCCCGCGCGACGACGGCGAGAUGGCGGCUGCCGGGACCUUCCUGCACCCGUUCCCGAGCGAAAGCGUAAGCGCCUGCGUCGACUCCCCACCCGCGGCCG
rnacentral:lncRNA from 1 species